UGGGGAAUAUUGGACAAUGGGCGAAAGCCUGAUCCAGCCAUGCCGCGUGUGUGAAGAAGGUCUUCGGAUUGUAAAGCACUUUAAGUUGGGAGGAAGGGCAGUAAGCGAAUACCUUGCUGUUUUGACGUUACCGACAGAAUAAGCACCGGCUAACUCUGUGCCAGCAGCCGCGGUAAUACAGAGGGUGCAAGCGUUGAUCGGAAUUACUGGGCGUAAAGCGCGCUUAGGUGGUUCGUUAAGUUGAAUGUGAAAGCCCCGGGCUCAACCUGGGAACUGCAUCCAAAACUGGCGGGCUAGAGUAGGGCAGAGGGUGGUGGAAGUUCCUGUGUAGCGGUGAAAUGCGUAGAAAUAAGACGGAACACCAGUGGCGAAGGCGACCACCUGGGCUCAUUAUGACACUGAGGUGCGAAAGCGUGGGGAGCAAACAGG
rnacentral:rRNA from 1 species